rnacentral:rRNA from 1 species
UACGUAGGCAGCAAGCGUUGUUCGGAGUUACUGGGCGUAAAGAGUGCGUAGGUGGUGCCCUAAGUCUGUUGUGAAAUCUCCCGGCUUAACUGGGAGGGUGCGGUGGAAACUGGGGUGCUUGAGUGUGGGAGAGGUAAGCGGAAUUCCUGGUGUAGCGGUGAAAUGCGUAGAUAUCAGGAGGAACACCGGUGGCGAAGGCGGCAUCCUGGACCGGCAUUGACGCUGAGGCGCGAAAGCCAGGGGAGCAAACGGG